UGGUGUAAAUUAUAUUUACCAGGGUAUUGUUAGUUAGGAUCUUUAAACCCAGAGAAUUUGGCGGUAUCUUAGUCCGUUCAGAGGAGCCUGCCCCAUAAUUGAUAAUACACGAUUUUCUUUACUUAAUCUAUUUGUUUGUAUAUCUCCGUUAUCAGAGGAUUUUUUUAGAUUUAUAAUUCUCUUAAAUUAUAAUUAUAAUUUAUUUCAGGUCAAGGUGCAGCUUAUGUUUAAGAGGAGGUGGGUUACAAUAUAUUUUUGUUUAUAACGGAUUUAUUUGUUAAUUAAAUUAAUGAAGGUGGAUUUGAUAGUAAUUUAAUUAUUUUAAGUUAAUUGAUAUUGGCUCUGAGGU
rnacentral:rRNA from 1 species